GAUGAACGCUGGCGGCGUGCCUAACACAUGCAAGUCGAGCGAGCAAUCUUUAAACAAAUCUUCGGAAGAGAGAUGAGAUGGAAAGCGGCGGACGGGUGAGUAACGCGUAGGCAACAUGCCCCAUACAGAGGGAUAGCCUCGGGAAACCGGGAUUAAAACCUCCUAACCCGGCAGAUUCCCAUGUUUCUUCCGUCAAAGAUUUCUCGGUAUGGGAUGGGCCUGCGUGGGAUUAGCGAGUUGGUAAGGUAACGGCUUAACAAGGCAACGAUCAGUAGCCCACCUGAGAGGGUAAUCGGCCACAUUGCAACUGAGACACGGUCCAAACUCCUACGGGAGGCAGCAGUGGGGAAUAUUGCACAAUGGGCGAAAGCCUGAUGCAGCAACGCCGCGUGGGCGAUGAAGGCCUUUGGGUCGUAAAGCUCUGUCCUUGGGGAAGAAAAAAAUGACGGUACCCUUGGAGGAAGCCCCGGCUAACUACGUGCCAGCAGCCGCCGUAA
rnacentral:rRNA from 1 species